AUGAACGCUGGCGGCGUGCCUAAUACAUGCAAGUCGAGCGAACGGACGAGAAGCUUGCUUCUCUGAUGUUAGCGGCGGACGGGUGAGUAACACGUGGAUAACCUACCUAUAAGACUGGGAUAACUUCGGGAAACCGGAGCUAAUACCGGAUAAUAUUUUGAACCGCAUGGUUCAAAAGUAAAAGACGGUCUUGCUGUCACUUAUAGAUGGAUCCGCGCUGCAUUAGCUAGUUGGUAAGGUAACGGCUUACCAAGGCAACGAUGCAUAGCCGACCUGAGAGGGUGAUCGGCCACACUGGAACUGAGACACGGUCCAGACUCCUACGGGAGGCAGCAGUAGGGAAUCUUCCGCAAUGGGCGAAAGCCUGACGGAGCAACGCCGCGUGAGUGAUGAAGGUCUUCGGAUCGUAAAACUCUGUUAUUAGGGAAGAACAUAUGUGUAAGUAACUGUGCACAUCUUGACGGUACCUAAUCAGAAAGCCACGGCUAACUCCGUG
rnacentral:rRNA from 1 species